rnacentral:rRNA from 1 species
GAUGAACGCUGGCGGCGUGCUUAACACAUGCAAGUCGAACGAAGCAACUUAUUACGAUCCCUUCGGGGUGACGAUUUGUUGACUGAGUGGCGGACGGGUGAGUAACGCGUGGGUAACCUACCUUGUACAGGGGGACAACAGUUGGAAACGACUGCUAAUACCGCAUAAGCGCACGGUAUCGCAUGGUACAGUGUGAAAAGUUUUUUCGGUACAAGAUGGACCCGCGUCUGAUUAGCUAGUUGGUGAGGUAACGGCUCACCAAGGCGACGAUCAGUAGCCGACCUGAGAGGGUGACCGGCCACAUUGGGACUGAGACACGGCCCAAACUCCUACGGGAGGCAGCAGUGGGGAAUAUUGCACAAUGGGCGAAAGCCUGAUGCAGCGACGCCGCGUGAGCGAAGAAGUAUUUCGGUAUGUAAAGCUCUAUCAGCAGGGAAGAUAAUGACGUAC